ACCACACAGAAGAUUAGCCAAGUGUGCCAAGUGUGGUGGCACACACCUGUGGUCCCAGCUACUUAGGAGGCUGAAGUGGGAGGAUCACCUGGCCCAGGAGAACGAGGCUGCGGUAAGCCAAGAUCAUGCCACUGCACUCCAGCCUGGGCAACAGAGCAAGAUCCUGUCUCAAAAAAAAAAAAAAAGAAUCAAAGAAUGGAUCAGCCUCAUAUCAUCCAAGCUCAUAGAGACAAUGAUGUAGAAAAACCCCAAUGGCUUUGUAUUGAAUCGUCACCUUCAGAGGGCUGGGGACAUAGGUUCAUAGAUAGUACCUUCACUCCCGGGAGGCACGGGAAGACAAUUCCUUUUUGGUUUUUUUUUGAGACAGAGUUUCACUCUUGCCACCCAGGCUGGAGUGCAGUGGUGCAGUCUCAGCUCACUGCAACCUCUGCCUCCUGGGUUCAAGUGCUUCUCCUGCCUUAGCCUCCCAAGUAGCUAGCAUUAUAAGUGCCCAUCACCACACCCAG
rnacentral:lncRNA from 1 species